GAGUGGUUGGGUUUUUUGUGGGUUUUUUUUUUUUUUUUUUAAAUUGUGUGGCUUUCUGUCACCAGCUGCUAUCAACUGUUUUCUGAAGCCUCACUUGUGUAGUUUUAGCUUUGGAGGAAAUAUGAAAGCAAAAUUAUCUCCAUGGUCCUAUUUACCCACAAUAUCUCCCUUGAAGCUCCCUACAAAUGUUUUUCUACAGUGACCUUUCAGAGUGCCUGCUUUCAAGAGAGGCUGCCAGCCUGGAAGUGGGGCUUAGGCAUGUUUUCUUACAUUUAGCUAUAUUAAAAAUGGGGAUCUUUGUUUCAGUCUUCUUUGUCUGGCAAACUAAAUUGCUUUCUACCACUGAUCCUUGUUUUCAUCGCUCUAAUCUGUAAAUUUGUUCAGUAAUCAUCUUGUGCUUUUUUUUUUUUUUUUUUCAGAGCAUAGACAAAACCACUACAUAACAUAGGGUCAAGCUCUCGAGGGUGGGAUAAAAAAAACUGUUCUCUUUUGUGUUGAUAUUUAAUUGCUGUAAGCUGGAAACAUUUAUUUAGUAUUUGGCCUUAUCUGCAAUUACAUUCUGAAGCCUAUCACUCUCUAGCCCACUUGAUGUGUCAUGUUGAUUUUGAUUUUCUUAAUCAAAUGUCAUUUUGCAUCAAGUCAGCUGUCAUACAAAACCUGCUAUAUCUGUGCUAUUAAUUAGCAAUAAGCAUUUAAUUAAAAACUACACUUGUGCAAGAAUAUAUUUUCUGAAAAUUCAUGUCACUAAUGCUAUAUUACCCUCUCAUUUUUUUUCUAGCCAGAGUCUUGUAUUGGCCAUUCUGUUGCCAUCAGUGUCAUACGGACAAAAUUGUAGCUACUCAUGUCACCAAAUCUGAAGAAAACCCAACACAACACUGCCCCAACAAAACCACCCCCCUGGUUAUUGUUUCUCUCUGUCCUCUCAAAUAGCCUGUUUUCAAAGAAUACCAAAAAUUAGCAUUAAUGGUUCAAACAGCUUCUCAGACAAGCUCUUUCUUCUAAUCACCAUGAAAAUUGAAACCUAGAUCUUAACUCUUCCCCAUAUGACCUACUUCAAGCCACUCACUCGAGAUAUAACUGUCCUAGCAGAGUCAUCUGUCUUCCUGUGGGACUUGCAGGAAUCCUUUCUAGAGGUUCCUUGAGGUCCCCUGCUUAACCAGCCACAACAAGAGCACUAGAGGUGAUUGUGACUUGUGGCUGGUUUGGGCAGCUGGGGUUAAAUGGAUGUUGGACAGAAGCUGAUGGUCUAAAUAUCUUUCUGUUAUUAUUUCAGGUGAAUUGCAUGGCUUUGGUUUGGAAUCAAUUAAAAUUUGAUGUUAAUCUUUGCAGCUGUGAAGUAGAGAAAUUCAACAAUCUUUUACAACUAGCCCCAAAUCUACAGAAAUUGAUUCUGCUAAUGCAGUAUUGUCACCAAGCCAUCCAGCACAGAUGCCAGCUGUGUGAUGUGAUCAUAGAGUUCCUGGAUGUGGGAUGGAUUGAGUUGCUGUAAGAACUGCUGGGAGCAGAUCUUUGGGCAGUAGAGAUGGGGAAUCCACUUUUUUAUAUAACGACCUUCAAAAUCAGCCCUCUGUGUUGUCUCAUGUUUUUGGCUGACUUCCUGUGGGCAUGUGGAUAAAUCAGGUCAGUUUGCUCGCUUGAUGUGCAUAGACAAGUAUGAGGAUUAUGAAAUGAGAGCAAUAACAGGAGGGUGUGUAUUACAGUGAGAGGAAUAAAGGGUAGCAUAGAGGAAAGUGGUGCCCUUUUGUGGAAAUACUUAUGAAAAAAAUUGAUAACUGGAAAAUAAGAUGGGUGAUUGAUACCUGUGGAAUGUCUUUGGAAUAAAUGGAUCAAAAAAAUCAGUAAGAUGACACCAGGAAGGUGUGUUUUGUUACUUACUGGAGUCAUGAGAAACACUUUUGUACUUGGGAAAAGAGCAUGUUCUGAAUUCUGGAAAUUAUAUUGUACUGAAGUUUUGGGGAAUAAAUCAGCUGGUAGCUCAAAGUGAGGUUUGUUUUUAAGUCUAGAACUUGGGUUGCAGUAUAUUUUCUUAUUCUGGGCCUCGCUUGAGGAACAGCAUGCAUGGAGCUGAGGGAGUAACUCAUGUACUGAAAAGAGCUGUGGCUUGUUCUGCUCUCCUUGUGUUUUUAGCAGGGCAGUUUGCAGGAUGUUUUCUUUGUAGCUGUGGUGUUUGGGCUACAGGGAUUUCAAAUAUUUCAGAGAAAAAAUAGCUUCAAAUUCAGCUCUGAGUCUGAUUUUUGUUUUAUUAGUGGAAAUCUUUGUCUCAUGUGUUUUCCCAGUUCUAGAUAACCUUUUCUUGUCAUCUAAGAAAUUAAUUUCUUUGUUGGACUCAUUGCAAGUAAACUUGAUAGCAGGAUUGCUGUUAUUGAGGCAGCUUACACAGUGAUUUGCUAAGUACAGCCUCUUCAUAUAAUGUGAAGCAGAAGUCGAUUUAUUGACCACCACUGGGAUUUCAGGAACUGUUGAACUACCUGGGUUUUAUCCUUCUCUCAUAAAAUUUGCUAUUAAAUGUCUUUUUUCUGAUACCCUCUUGAAAAGGGUUCUCUUUGAAAUGCAGUCAUACAAGAGCAGCAAUCCUACUCAUUUCUGUGCUGUAGAGUUUGGCUUUUUAAUGAAGAGUCUACAGGGUCACGUAAAGUAUCUUGACAUCAGAUUCUUGAAGGUUUUUGUAAAAUACUUUCCUAUGCCAGGAGGACACUGGCGCUUCUCAGCUGUGACAACUGUCUCUGGCUGUGGUGCCGGCCCUUGGCAUAGAGCAUAUGAGUGAGAGCAAAACACUGCAGAAAGACCAGCUCUGCUCUUAGCACAGACUGCGCUUGUUGCAGUAUAUGUCCUCUAUCAAAUAUUAGCUGCUGCUUCUCUGGAAUGCUAAGGAAUUAAUAAAUAUAUAAUUUGAUUAGUUUGUGCUAUUUGCUGUAUAUUCAUAGUAGUUUUUUACUACUUUCUGCAAGCUCUUCUCUAAGGUAUACGUUAGGAAGGAAAACUGUUGUCUCUGGUAAUCUGUAAAAACAGUUUUAAAAAUAGAAUCCAAGUGAACUGUACCAAGUGGAUUAUUGAUUCUUGGGGAUGUGGAGAGAAUGCUUUCUGUGAAGUCUUCUUCAUUGUUUCAGAGUCUAUGCCAGUGUCUGGAGGCUUUGGGGGUGAUGUUUUUUGAUUAACAGACAAUAAUGGAGAAAUCAUUAGAGUUAAUCUGGGUUUGUGACAACUCUUGCCAGGCACUGCUGCAGAUGGGAUGUCAGAGCUGGGGUGCUGGGGGUGGAACCUGGACGUUCACUGGCUGUGGUACGUGGUGGGAAGGUCUCGGAUCCUGGCGUGUUCCUGCUCCAUGAGAUGGUGCCAUGCCCGGGAUAUCAGGUUAGCCUGCACUAACCUUUUGCAUUGGAAAUGAAUUUGUGAGAGAGCAAGAUCAAACACAGGAAUUUUCCUCUCCAGCCAGCGAGUGACAAGACUGUGGAUGGACAUAUUUAAAGAGAAUCAAGAGGCACAUUGCUAAGAGACUUCUAGGUACAUCAGAUGGAGAGGAACAUCAGAUGUGAAAUGCUAACAAAAUUAACUCUUUAGAAAUUAUAAGCCUCACUUUUACUGCAGUAAAUACUUUAUCUUGCUCCCUUGA